rnacentral:rRNA from 1 species
AGAACGAACGCUGGCGGCGUGCCUAACACAUGCAAGUCGAGGGAGAAAAGGGGCUUCGGCUCCCCAGUAAACCGGCGCACGGGUGAGUAACACGUAGGUAACGUACCCUGGAGUCCGGGAUAACCAGUCGAAAGACUGGCUAAUACCGGAUACGACUGCGAAGUCUCCGGACUUUGUAGUGAAAGAUGGCCUCUAUUUAUAAGCUAUCACUCCUGGAUCGGCCUGCGCACCAUUAGCUAGUUGGUGAGGUAACGGCUCACCAAGGCUGAGAUGGUUAGC